GCGGGCGUGGCGGAACGGUUGACGCAGGGCGCUUAAACCGCCCCGGGGUUGCGACCCCAUGCAGGUUCGAAUCCUGUCGCCCGCA
rnacentral:tRNA from 2 species